CAGAAAGUGCAAUUCCUCUAGAGAGCUCACCAUGGCCUGGGCUCUGUUGUUCCUUGCACUUCUCCGUUACUGCUCAGGUGUCGGUUCUCAGAGUGUGACUCAGCCUGCCUCCUCGUCUGUCUCCCUGGGGCAAACAGUGAAACUCUCCUGCAGCAAAAGCAGUGAAGGCAGCUGGUAUAGCUACUUUGGCUGGUAUCAACAGAAACCUGGGCAGGCCCCUCGCUUUUUGUAUUACAGCAGCAGGGGAGAAGGGAUCCCAGAUCGGUUCACUGGUUCCACCUCAGGGGACAAUGGUUACUUAACCAUCACCAACGUUCAGCCUGAAGACGAGGCAGAUUAUUACUGUGGAAGGUGGUACAGCACUGGUAGCAUGUCCCACAAUGGUACAAUCUAA